rnacentral:piRNA from 1 species
UGUGAAAUCACCCCAAAUCUCCUUAUUUCA